UCCAAAUUAAAAAAGUGCUCCGUUCUAUCGUUUAUUUUCAAAAAAAUGUGCUCCAUUAUAGUGUGUGACCCGCCAAGGUCAUACGAACGCUCUGACGAGAGAGAGAGAGAGAUAUGGCGUCUUGGUUUUUGGAUUUGUAGAAAUAUGAAGGAAUUGGGGACAUGUGCUCCCUACUCCCUACCUACAAUUCUGGAGAAUGGCGGAUGAUGGCUACAAAUUACAUUGGUGCAUUCUGUUUGACCAAUCUUUUACUACCACUUCUUAAAAAUAGUCCUGUGCCUUCCCAGAUCGUGAAUGUUACAUUUUUUUACUCAUCCAAAUGUUUUUAAUUUGCAGGUUGACUAGGAAACUGUUUCGGGGAAGUGCUUCUCAAGAACAAAACCAUAUCCAUGUGCUCGUAUUUAUGAGAAUUCUAAAUUGCUGUGGAUCCCGGAGUAGUGGAAACCAAUAUUAUGCGAGAGGUUCCCUCGUGCCUUUCUUGUGUAGCAUUUACAUUUUACAGUCUUGAAGCUUCUCGGCCUUUUGCAAUCACCUAAAAAAGGGAUAAGCUCUGUUCUUGAUGCAGCCCUUGUGCAACCAGAUAUAUCUGGAGUAUACCUUUUCAGUGGAAAGGGUAGAACCAUUAACUCUUCUGCACUUUCGCACAACAGCAAACUUGCACAUGAACCUUGGACCACUUCAUACAAUCUGUUUAUGCAGUCAUAGCUUGCUGUUAAGGUUAAGGAAAUUUCCACGUGAAUAUUUGAUUGUAAUAGGGAGGGAAUGUCUUCAUCAACGAAAAGCAAAGAGAAAUAGCACGGAUUUGAAAUGGUGGCAGUUGCACGGAGUGCGGUUGAUGGCCUGUUCACUUCUCAGUUUGUCAGUCCUUUUGCAUCAUGGAUGUUGUGAUAGAUGCAGUCUUGCAGUUGCAGAGCUGUAAUUGGAACUUGUUUAUGUUAUUUCUUUGCAAAAGCCUCGAGAGCUUUUCAGAUAUCAUGGUUCUUUAAAAGUAAGAUCAGAAAAGAAAUGGUGGAACACAGCAACAGAAGCCAAAUGGAGACAUCGUUGUUCAUGUUGUUUGUGGGAAAUAGUGGAGACGUAAGUGGAACUUGUUUUAAGUUUUGUGGGCUGAAUAUAUAAAAUGUUAACAACGCGUUUACAUAAAUGUUAAUUGUUUUUGUUUCAAGACAUAUGAGAAAAGGAGGAAAGCCUCAAAGUGACUGCUGCUGCAGCAAUAUAUAUAUGUAGAUGAUGCCAUAUCUUAUGUGAAUGAAUGCAUAUGGAUUGUAGUCUAAAUAGAAAGGAGGAGGGAAAAAGAGGUAGGGGGAAUUUUUGGC